rnacentral:rRNA from 1 species
GACGAACGCUGGCGGCGUGCUUAACACAUGCAAGUCGAACGGAAAGGCCCUGCUUUUGUGGGGUGCUCGAGUGGCGAACGGGUGAGUAACACGUGAGUAACCUGCCCUUGACUUUGGGAUAACUUCAGGAAACUGGGGCUAAUACCGGAUAGGAGCUCCUGCUGCAUGGUGGGGGUUGGAAAGUUUCGGCGGUUGGGGAUGGACUCGCGGCUUAUCAGCUUGUUGGUGGGGUAGUGGCUUACCAAGGCUUUGACGGGUAGCCGGCCUGAGAGGGUGACCGGCCACAUUGGGACUGAGAUACGGCCCAGACUCCUACGGGAGGCAGCAGUGGGGAAUAUUGCACAACGGGCGGAAGCCUGAUGCAGAAACGCCGCGUGCGGGAUGACGGCCUUCGGGUUGUAAACCGCUUUCGCCUGUGACGAAGCGUGAGUGACGGUAAUGGGUAAAGAAGCACCGGCUAACUACGUG